AUCACAAGGAAGAGAAGAUUGUAGGAGUUUGGGGGGGUGGAGACUAUAAUGACCCCUAUUAAAAAGGGGCAGAGCUGCUCACUUCCAGCCCUGUGGGAGGGCUGGAAGACUGGGACCAUUUUGCCAAAACUUUUUUCCCGCAUCAUAAGCUAGAAAUCUUAAUUUAUAUUGAACUCUUGUUUUUAAAAUAUUAGCUCAUGUUUUGAAACCACUUUGCAAGACAGAUUGAUCUCUAUGGGCCAGUUUGUGGCCCUUGCUUUUUGCUUUGAGCCUCACAUCAUUUGUUAGUAUGACAAACUCCUGUUCAUCUAUUAGGACACAAAUCAAAUGUCCCUCAAUCUGUGACUCCUUCUCUAAUCCUAGUCAGAUUCAAUAGCUCAACUCUCUAAACCUCCAUAAUAUACCUUGGCUGAACUUGAGCUUAAUAGUGAAAGAAAAGGAUAACAUGCUUGAUUUACACAAUAGGGCAUUUAAUUAACAUAAUGAGAGUUUAUUGGGGGAAAAUCUGUGCCACUGUUAGAAGAGAAACUCUUGAUUUUCUCGUCCUUUUCAGAAUUUAUAAUCUAACAAAAACUUCAGAGUAAAUAACUUUUUUCAAAAAACAAAAGUUUGAAAUGGGGGAAAGAGGGAAUCCCUUCUGAACACCUCCUUCUUCUCCAAGUGCACUGCACUGAAGGAUGCUCUGUGAGAGGAGAAAUCAGGGACAUGUAGCUGGACUUAGGGACAAGAUGGACAUCGCCAUCCUGCAGAACUGGCACAAACAUAAAGUGGGGCUGGGUGCAGGAUAGGCAGGCAGGUCUCCUGGUUCCCCGUGGGGAUCAGUGCUCCUGUGGGCUGUGGGCAGCCAAAUGCACUCAGUACAGUACGGAGAAACACAACCAGGCUCAUUCCUCCAGUAGAUGAGGGAGGAACAAAUACAAGUAUUUCAGGCAUAAAAAGACUAAGAAUGUUUAUUCUGCCAAUGACUCAACAAAAAAUUAGCGAAAGUCUGUGUGGUAAAGAAGAGUGAACACAGAAGUCAGGUAAAAAACAAUGAGCAUAAAACUGAUGCAAAUAUGUUUGCUGACUUAACUAUUUAAUAGAAGAAUAACUAUUUUUCAAACAGAUGAAGCUAAAAUCUCUAUAAACAAGAUGAGUUCCUGUCAUGGCUCAGUGGUUAACGAAUCCGACUAGGAACCAUGAGGUUUUGGGUUCCAUCCCGGGCCUCGCUCAGUGGGUUAAGGAUCUGGUGUUGCCGUGAGCUGUGGUGUAGGUUGUAGACGCAGCUGGGAUCCCUUGUUGCUGUGGCUCUGGCAUAGGCCGAUGGCUACAGUUCUGAUUCAACCCCUAGCCUGGGAACCUCCAUAUGCGGCGGGAGCGGCCCAAAAAAUGGCCAAAAAAGACAAAAAAAAAAGACGAAAAGAAAAUGUUUGCACAAUAAAAUUUAGCA
ensembl:lncRNA